rnacentral:rRNA from 1 species
UACGAAGGGGGCUAGCGUUGCUCGGAAUUACUGGGCGUAAAGCGCACGUAGGCGGCUUCUUAAGUCGGUGGUGAAAUCCUGGAGCUCAACUCCAGAACUGCCUUCGAUACUGGGAGCUCGAGUCCGGGAGAGGUGAGUGGAACUGCGAGUGUAGAGGUGAAAUUCGUAGAUAUUCGCAAGAACACCAGUGGCGGAAGGCGGCUCACUGGCCCGGUACUGACGCUGAGGUGCGAAAGCGUGGGGA